rnacentral:rRNA from 1 species
GUCCACGCCGUAAACGAUGGAUACUAGGUGUAGGAGGUAUCGACCCCUUCUGUGCCGGAGUUAACGCAAUAAGUAUCCCGCCUGGGAAGUACGAUCGCAAGAUUAAAACUCAAAGGAAUUGACGGGGGCCCGCACAAGCGGUGGAGUAUGUGGUUUAAUUCGACGCAACGCGAAGAACCUUACCAGGUCUUGACAUUGAUCGCAAUUUUCAGAAAUGAGAAGUUCUCCUUCGGGAGACGAGAAAACAGGUGGUGCACGGCU